rnacentral:rRNA from 1 species
GGGCUGCAGUAUUUUGACUGUACAAAGGUAGCAUAAUCAUUAGUCAUUUAAUUGAUGACUUGUAUGAAGGAUUGGAUGAAAUAUAAACUGUCUCUUAAUUAAAAUAGAAUUUAAUUUUUUAAUUAAAAAGUUAAAAUAAAUUAGAAAGACGAGAAGACCCUAUAGAGUUUUAUAAUUGAAUUAAUUGAUAUUGUUUAUAAAUUUAAUUAUUAAAAUUAAUUAAAUUAUUUUGUUGGGGUGACAGAAAAAUAUAAAAAACUUUUUUUAAACAAAAACAUAUAUAAGUGAUUAUUUGAUCCAGUAUUAUUGAUUAUAAGAAAAAAUUACCUUAGGGAUAACAGCGUAAUUUUUUUUUUUAGUUCAAAUAAAAAAAAGAGUUUGCGACCUCGAUGUUGGAUUAAGAUAAAAUUUAAAUG